GAAAUGCGAUAAGUAGUGUGAAUUGCAGAAUUCAGUGAAUCAUCGAAUCUUUGAACGCACAUUGCGCCCCUUGGCAUUCCAUGGGGCAUGCCUGUUCGAGCGUCAUUUGUACCCUCAAGCUCUGCUUGGUGUUGGGUGUUUGUCCCGUCUCCGCGCGUGGACUCGCCCCAAAGUGAUUGGCAGCCGGCGUACUGGUCCCGGAGCGCAGCACAUGUCGCGCAAACGAGUGCCUUGGUACGGCGGCGUCCAUAAGCCCCUCUCUCACGCUCUUGACCUCGGAUCAGGUAGGGAUACCCGCUGAACUUAAGC
rnacentral:misc_RNA from 1 species